rnacentral:sRNA from 1 species
UUUCGCUUCCCAGUAAGCUGGUUGAAAAGCGUUUCAACAUCAGGAAGUUCAAGGUCAUCCCCUGCACUACCUUGAGAACUGAGAUAUUGAUCUUUCGGUGGGCGCUGGGGCGAGUAUUGGGAACGCAUCAAUGGAGAAAAUGGCUGGGACCCAUUGUUAAAAUGGUGUAUCUGUCGAUCAGGGUCGGGCGGGUCAGGACAUUUCUCGUGGACCCGUAAAAAAGAAGGGUGUUUCCUUCGGCCAGUGCCUUUCAAAGCUACGGCUUCGCACCGUUCAGUUUGGUCAUCGGGGUGUAGAUGAGCUUUAAAAUGGUCCGCGCAGUCAGUUGUCAAGGCAUUCAUAUUUUGAAAAGCCUUUACGAGUCGGCAGGUGACGGCCCCGUGCUUUACAAACUUUGUUGGGCGGUAAGAUCUUUGCAGCUCCGGAUAGGCAUCAAUUCGUGGCCUGGAGACAAACUGAGGGCUCGUACCUCCGAUACUGCAAUAUCUUUGUUCGAGUUCUCUUCGUUCGUCCUUCGAAAGAAGAACUUCAUCCAAUGGCGGGAUAUCAAAAAUUUCCACAACUUUUGGAGGAGGUUUGCGGAGGCUUUCAGUAGUAGCCUUGCGGCUCACCUUCAUGCCACUGAUACGAGAUGCCUUGGUGAAUCCCGUUUCAACACCAUCAGGCAUGUGAAAUUUCUUGGGAAGCCGCUUAGGAACUCUCGCUCGCUUGGUGGGUUCCGGU